UUAUGGUGACGUUUCCAUGUUGUGUUGCCGUUGACAACGCGUGCGUAACAUGUUGUGUUGCCGUUGACAACGUGUGCGUAACAUGUUGUGUUGCCGUUGACAACGCGUGUGUAACAUGUUGUGGUAGUCAAGGAUAAUUCUGCGAUUCAUUUUCAUGAUAAUACCAUAUAACGUUACCAUGAUAAUAAAACUAGUGAAAAGCGAUCAUUUAUCUGAAUAAUAGCAUACGAAUAUAUCAUUGUUGUUUGUAUCACCGCAUAUUGAUCCAAUCUGUGCACAAACACGUUUUGCCAUCCUGGUUUAAUGCCUCAAUGCCUGUCCCUUCUCUGUCAAUGUACGGGUGACCUAAACGAAGGCCUCUGUGUGAUACAGCAGGAGAGCCAAAGGGAAGCCUCUGUAACCAGUCAAACGGAAGAUGGAGAGGGAAACAUAUCCAGCAUACAAAGUGUUCUUCAGUGAAAGGCCAAUGGACCAAGGUUCCCCCAAGCAUGAGGAGUCCUACCAUCUGGUCAUCCACGAGGAGACCCUCCAGCUCCGGCACCUGGUAUCCGGUGAUGUCAUACUGGAGUUGCCCUACAAGCACAUAAGGAAAUACAUUGUAACACCCAACACAUUCUCAAUAGAAGCUGGUCGGAUGUGCAUGCUUGGAGAAGGAGAGUUUCAGAUGGAAACUUGUGAAGCCCGAUCAAUUAUGGACAAGAUUAACAAACGAAAGAAAAUACUUGAAGAACGGCGCGCUAGAAUACAAGACAGUCCACGGAAAAAAGGU
rnacentral:lncRNA from 1 species